rnacentral:misc_RNA from 1 species
GAUGAAGAACGCAGCGAAAUGCGAUAAGUAAUGUGAAUUGCAGAAUUCAGUGAAUCAUCGAAUCUUUGAACGCACAUUGCGCCCGCCAGUAUUCUGGCGGGCAUGCCUGUUCGAGCGUCAUUUCAACCAUCAAGCCCUGCUUGCGUUGGGGUCCUGCGGCUGCCCGCAGGCCCUGAAAACCAGUGGCGGGCUCGCUAGUCACACCGAGCGCAGUAAUACAUCUCGCUUUGGGCGUGCGGCGGGUUCUUGCCGUUAAACACCCCCUUUUUACCAAGGUUGACCUCGGAUCAGGUAGGAAUACCCGCUGAACUUAAGCAUAUCAAUAGCGGAGGA